AGUGAACGCUGGCGGUAGGCCUAACACAUGCAGGUCGAACGGCAGCACAGUAAGAGCUUGCUCUUACGGGUGGCGAGUGGCGGACGGGUGAGGAAUACAUCGGAAUCUACUUUUUCGUGGGGGAUAACGUAGGGAAACUUACGCUAAUACCGCAUACGACCUACGGGUGAAAGCAGGGGAUCUUCGGACCUUGCGCGAUUGAAUGAGCCGAUGUCGGAUUAGCUAGUUGGCGGGGUAAAGGCCCACCAAGGCGACGAUCCGUAGCUGGUCUGAGAGGAUGAUCAGCCACACUGGAACUGAGACACGGUCCAGACUCCUACGGGAGGCAGCAGUGGGGAAUAUUGGACAAUGGGCGCAAGCCUGAUCCAGCCAUGCCGCGUGGGUGAAGAAGGCCUUCGGGUUGUAAAGCCCUUUUGUUGGGAAAGAAAAGCAGCAGGUUAAUACCCCGCUGUUCUGACGGUACCCAAAGAAUAAGCACCGGCUAACUUCGUG
rnacentral:rRNA from 1 species